AAUACCGCAUACACCCUAAGGGGGAAAGAGGGCCUAUCCUUGGAAGCUCUCGCUGUUAGAUGAGCCUGCGUGAGAUUAGUUUGUUGGUGGGGUAAUGGCCUACCAAGACCGCGAUCUCUAGCUGGUCUGAGAGGACGAUCAGCCACACUGGGACUGAGACACGGCCCAGACUCCUACGGGAGGCAGCAGUAGGGAAUAUUGGACAAUGGGGGCAACCCUGAUCCAGCUAUGCCGCGUGUGUGAAGAAGGCUCUAGGGUUGUAAAGCACUUUAGGUAAGGACGAAAAGAAUAUAGUUAAUACCUAUAUUCCGUGACUUAACUUACAGAAUAAGGACCGGCUAACUCCGUGCCAGCAGCCGCGGUAAUACGGAGGGUCCAAGCGUUAAUCGGAAUUACUGGGCGUAAAGCGCGCGUAGGCGGUUUGUCAAGUUGGAUGUGAAAUCCCUGGGCUCAACCUAGGAACUGCAUUCAAAACUUAUAGACUAGAGUACGAUAGAGGAGAGUAGAAUUCCUGGUGUAGCGGUGAAAUGCGUAGAUAUCAGGAGGAAUACCAAUGGCGAAGGCAACUCUCUGGAUCGACACUGACGCUGAGGUGCGAAAGCGUGGGUAGCAAACAGGAUUAGAUACCCUGGUAGUCCACGCCGUAAACGAUGAGAACUAGCCGUUGGAUCUUAGAUUCAGUGGUACAGCUAACGCAUUAAGUUCUCCGCCUGGGGAGUACGGCCGCAAGGCUAAAACUCAAAUGAAUUGACGGGGGCCCGCACAAGCGGUGGAGCAUGUGGUUUAAUUCGAUGCAACGCGAAAAACCUUACCAAACCCUU
rnacentral:rRNA from 1 species